UGGGGAAUUUUGGACAAUGGGCGAAAGCCUGAUCCAGCGACGCCGCGUGGAUGAUGAAGGCCUUAGGGUUGUAAAGUCCUUUCGCUAGGGAAGAUAAUGACGGUACCUAGAGAAGAAGCCCCGGCUAACUCCGUGCCAGCAGCCGCGGUAAGACGGAGGGGGCUAGCGUUGUUCGGAAUCACUGGGCGUAAAGCGUACGCAGGCGGCUUUUUAAGUCAGAAGUGAAAGCCCGGGGCUUAACCUCGGAAGUGCUUUUGAUACUGGAAAGCUAGAGAUCUAGAGGGGUUAAUGGAAUUCCCAGUGUAGAGGUGAAAUUCGUAGAUAUUGGGAGGAACACCAGAGGCGAAAGCGAUUAACUGGCUAGAUACUGACGCUCAUGUACGAAAGCGUGGGGAGCAAA
rnacentral:rRNA from 1 species